GGAUCAGUGGCAAACGGGUGAGUAACGCGUAAGUAAUCUUCCUUUAAGACUGGGAUAACUAGCCGAAAGGUUAGCUAAUACCAGAUGUGGCGGCUGGGACUAAUGUUCUGGCCACUAAACGGAACGCAAGAACCGCUUAAAGAUGAGCUUGCGGCCUAUCAGCUAGUUGGUAAGGUAAUGGCUUACCAAGGCUAUGACGGGUAGCUGGUCUGAGAGGACGACCAGCCACACUCGCACUGAGACACGGGCGAGACUCCUACGGGAGGCAGCAGUGAGGAAUUUUCCGCAAUGGACGAAAGUCUGACGGAGCGACGCCGUGUGUGUGAUGAAGUCUUUCGGGAUGUAAAGCACUGUCGAGAGGGACGAUAUUGACGGUACCUCUGGAGGAAGCCCCGGCUAACUACGUGCCAGCAGCCGCGGUAAUACGUAGGGGGCGAGCGUUGUCCGGAAUUAUUGGGCGUAAAGGGCGUGUAGGCGGUUCUGUAAGUUGGGUGUUAAAGGUAAGGGCUCAACUCUUACAUUGCAUUCAAUACUGCAGUUCUGGAGAUUGGUAGAGGAGAACGGAACUUCCGGUGUAGCGGUGAAAUGCGUAGAUAUCGGAAGGAACACCAGUGGCGAAGGCGGUUCUCUGGGCCAAUUCUGACGCUGAGGCGCGAAAGCUAGGGGAGCAAACAGGAUUAGAUACCCUGGUAGUCCUAGCUGUAAACUAUGGUCACUAGGUGUUUGUGGUAUCGACCCCAUGAGUGCCGAAGUUAACAUGAUUAGUGACCCGCCUGGGGAGUACGGUCGCAAGAUUAAAACUCAAAAGAAUUGACGGGGGCCCGCACAAGCGGUGGAGCAUGUGGUUCAAUUCGAUGCUACGCGAAGAACCUUACCUAGGCUUGACAUGUAUGGAAUCUGUGGGAAACCAUAGAGUGCCUCGCAAGAGGAGCCAUAACACAGGUGCUGCAUGGCUGUCGUCAGCUCGUGUCGUGAGAUGUUGGGUUAAGUCCCGCAACGAGCGCAACCCUUACGGUUAGUUGCCACUACCGAGCAAUC
rnacentral:rRNA from 1 species